rnacentral:rRNA from 1 species
GAUCCUGGCUCAGAACGAACGCUGGCGGCGCGUUUAAGCAUGCAAGUCGAGCGGCAAGGGCCUUCGGGCCCCUAGAGCGGCGGACGGGUGAGUAACACGUGGACAAUCUGCCCCCCGGCCCGGGAUAGCCCAGGGAAACCUGGAUUAAUACCGGAUGAGACGGGACCCGCGAUGGCGGGAUCCGGGAAAGGCGCUGCGGCGCCGCCGGGGGAUGAGUCUGCGUCCCAUUAGCUAGACGGCGGGGUAACGGCCCACCGUGGCGACGAUGGGUAGCCGGCCUGAGAGGGUGGACGGCCACAUUGGAACUGAGACACGGUCCAGACUCCUACGGGAGGCAGCAGCUAAGAAUCUUCCGCAAUGGGCGAAAGCCUGACGGAGCCGACGCCGCGUGAACGAAGAAGGCCGUGAGGUUGUAAAGUUCUUUUCGGGAGGGGGAACAACCGUGGCAGGGAAUGGCCGCGGGAUGACGUGAAUCCCGGAAUAAGCCCCGGCUAACUACGUGCCAGCCGCCGC